AAUAACAACAUAUAAAUUUAUAAAAAAAAAGGUAUGACAAAAAAAAAAGCCUGGCCCACUGGAAAAGUCCGUCCCACCCCGCUGAAGCCUGCUAAAAGUACACAGAUUAGGUGGUGCAGAUUAGACGGGCUUUUUAAGUUUGAUAGUCUCAAAUUUUCAGCCCAACCCACUUUUUUGUGGUUAUGCGAGCCGGCUCGGUGCCACCCUACCUAAGCUACAUUCUAUGUUGCCUCAGUGUAUAUCUUUUGGUGUCUUUCUAUGAUUAAAUCCCUAACGUUACCCACACAAACUAUAAAUUCUUGUUUUCCUCCGUUACUAGUUAUCAAACCCAGCUCGAUCCGGCCGAUUUGACCGGAAAUUCGUUAUCUGGCCGGACCAAGCCACUCAUUAAACCGCUUAAGCAUUGAACCCGAUAAAAACUGGUUCCACCUGGACGGGUUUUGUAAAAACCGAUGACCCGGCCGGUUCAUAUAACUCGGACCGGGUCAUGUUCAAUUUUUUUUUUAAAAAAAUGGAAAACGGUGUCGCUUAAAGGACGCCCCUCACUCCCAACCUUAUUUCCCUAAUCUGAACUCUGAAUCAGCUUCUUUCACUCUCGCAAGCGCUCUCACUCACUUCUCUGAACUCUGAAGAACGCUCUCACCUUCGCUCAAGCUCUCUCACGGUGUCGCACUCAAUUCUCUCUUGUGACUCGUCUCCAGUCUCUCACUUCUCUUUCAGUCUCACACUCAUUGUCUCGGAAAGGUCUUUGCGUUCUGUGUCAUCACCAUCUCGCACUCAGUCAUCGCCUUCUCUGCGCUCGUCUUUGUCGUCGGCAGAAUCAGACGGAACCAGCAUUUGGUCGUUAUCGUCUUUGGCCGUCAGUUGGUGAGCUUCCUUCACCUGCAGUUGGUCCCUGGGCAGUAGGAUGGUUCGAUGAGGAAGAACACAACUCAAGUCUAGUGGCAGCAAGGCUUGCAACAAAUGCAGCUGAUUCAAGUCUGUCAUUGCUAAGAGGAUUUCAGUCAUUUUAAAGAAUAUGAUUUUGUUGCUGAAUCAUCUUUGUAGCUAAAUUUUUUCUUGUCAUAAAUCAUCAUUGAACUUUAAUUUACUUAUUGUGUUUUGUUUUUCUCUCAUUAUUUAAAUUGAAAAAAUAUUUUGUAUUAGUGAAUAAUUUGUUAUAUAUUUUUGUAAUAUUAGUUAUGUUUAAGAAUUAAUACUUAAUUUUUGUUAGUGUGUUUGUGGAGACAUAUUUUUAAACUUUUAAUUUUAAACUUAUCUUUUUAUAACUUUAUAUUUAAUUUAAUUAGACCGGAUCAACCGGUUUAAUUAGUAAUCCAUCGGUUGAACUAGUGAUCUGGUGAUCCGAUCUAUCAUAUAUGGUGGAAACUCAGGUGAGUUUUUACCAUGAAGUCGACUGCACCUGAAUUUUCAUAUUAAAUUUUAUUAUCAAUUAUCAAAAAUAGCUUGUGAAAAUUCUUCUACCAACCUAUUUAACAAGGAAAAAACGUGUCAACUAUAAAGCCCAAGUACGAGAAACAAAUCUACAAGACCCCUGUGGAUGCAUAAUCUAACAAAAAUUAAAGCCCAGGAAACUCCUUUCACAAACUUUGGCCCCGUAACCAAUCAAAGACUUUAAUCCAAAUGAGCUCUAAUAAAUAAGUACAGCGACGGAUUAGUCUUAACCUGUCAGGUUGAAAGAUAUUAUGGGAAACCAAAAAAAAAAAAGAAAUAAGCACAAGUCAGUUUACUCGGUCAAUGAAGCAAGUGUUAGGGUUUGGAUUUCGCCUUGUAUAUAGCAACUUAUUGACCAGCAGCAAAUUCUAAAAUGAAACGCGACAGAUUAAUCAUUCAAUUGGUACAGAGCCUUUAUGACCGUUUCUCUAAGCAAUUCUUAGUUCAGUUAGUUGGAGAAAAAAAAAACAUACAACUUAAAUUUUUCAAAUACAAGCACUUUAGCUCAAAGGGUCCCCCAUCAAAGAACAAGAACAAUAAUUGACAAACAAGAUCACAAAUAUUAAAGCUAAAGGACUAAGAGACAAGUGUUAACAGAGAUGUCACAGCCUCAUCAAAAUUUGAAGGCAAAUGAAGAAGCUACAUACCUUAGAACUGAAUAGGUAGCAAUGUAUUUUCUAGCAGGGAAUUCACAUUGAAAAGUCUUGCUAUAAGUUUCUUUGUAUAAGUUUGACAGUGAGAUGAUAAAUAUGGACAUAAGAAAUCACCACAUAAUCUCAAAAAGAAUUAUACAGAUGUAUUAUCUCACUAGAACGCUUACUAGAUGGAUGAUCUCUUUCAAAAGCAGCAUGAACAAG